CUCAGCCAUUGUGGAGGUAAGUGUAUCGUCCGAGGAUAGAGUAAUAUGGGCAGGCAAAAUUGCUGGUAUUACAUGAUAUCAAGUAUAGUGUGCCGUCCAGGGUUCCAGUCACCUGAAGCAGCGCAGCAGCCACCCGUCUUGAAGCUACAGAGUCCGACCUGUCAUGUUGCUUUGUGCAAGAGCGUUCAGGGGAAAGGGCUCCAGUCACCUGAACCAACGCAACAGCCGCCCCUCUGGAAGCUAUCGAGGCCAUCCUGUCAAAUGGUUCCGUGUAAAUGCAUUCACUACAUUCUAUGAAGUAAUAAUAUCAGCUGCUAGGCCAAGCGUCAUGUUGCCGAUCCCAUACGCCUUUUCGAUCCCAUACGCCUUUUUGAGGAGUGAUGCCAAGCUACCUGGAGCAUCAGGGUCAAGAUCUUACCCCGCCAUCUCUUAAGUGCAGGACUCCGAAGACCACCAAGUCUCCAACAUCCUAAAUGAAACCUCUCCAAUGUGUGUGUGUCCUGUGUGUCAGACUCUGGUCUCGUAGUGUUGCGAGUAAUGAGCUUCCUUUGUGUACGAAAGAGUUCUCAGGACUCCCCACAUCAGUUGACAUUGAUUUUAUUUAUUUUUUUUUUUAAUAAAAAAUUUUCCUUGA
rnacentral:misc_RNA from 1 species